AUAAAACAGGGGCUAUCCCUGACUGUCAUACACACCCUGUGCUAAUCACUCCAGUGUGCACAAUGAGGACAGGCUUUCUAACUCUGCUGACCAUGCUCAGCCUCUGUGCCAUAUUCAACCUAGGUUAUGGUGAUGAUACUGAUAAAGAAUGUUUGGCUACUGUCUUACAGAACCCGAGUGGUCAGAGAUUUAAGGAUCUAUUGUCAAAGUAUAAUUUUUUACAGGGAGAUACUACACUAUACAAGGCAUUUAUUCAAGAUUUUAAGCAAGCA